rnacentral:rRNA from 1 species
UACGAAGGGAGCGAGCGUUGUUCGGAAUCACUGGGCUUAAAGCGUGCGUAGGUGGAUAUGUAAGUCAGAAGUGAAAUCCCCGGGCUUAACCCGGGAACUGCUUUUGAGACUGCAUGUCUGGAAUUCGGUAGAGGUUAGUGGAAUAUCCAGUGUAGAGGUGAAAUUCGCAGAUAUUGGAUGGAACACCAGUGGCGAAGGCGGCUCACUGGCCCGAUACUGACGCUGAGGCACGAAAGCGUGGGGAGCAAACAGG